GGAAUCUUGGUCAAUGGGGGAAACCCUGAACCAGCAACGCCGCGUGAGGGAUGAAGGCCCUCGGGUCGUAACCCUCUGUCAGAAGGGAAGAAAGCAUUUCGGGCCAACACCCCGGAGUGCUGACGGUACCUCCAAAGGAAGCGCCGGCUAACUCCGUGCCAGCAGCCGCGGUAAUACGGAGGGCGCGAGCGUUGUUCGGAAUCAUUGGGCGUAAAGCGCGUGUAGGCGGCGGUGCAAGUCGGGUGUGAAAGCCCGGGGCUCAACCCCGGAAUUGCACUCGAAACUGCAUCGCUAGAGUCUCGGAGAGGAGGGCGGAAUUCCCGGUGUAGAGGUGAAAUUCGUAGAUAUCGGGAGGAACACCAGUGGCGAAGGCGGCCCUCUGGACGAUGACUGACGCUGAGACGCGAAAGCGUGGGGAGCAAAC
rnacentral:rRNA from 1 species